rnacentral:rRNA from 1 species
GAUGAACGCUAGCUACAGGCUUAACACAUGCAAGUCGAGGGGCAGCAUGGAAGUUUGCUUGCAAACUUCCGAUGGCGACCGGCGCACGGGUGAGUAACACGUAUCCAACCUGCCGUCUACUCUUGGACAGCCUUCUGAAAGGAAGAUUAAUACAAGAUGGCAUCAUGAGUCCGCAUGUUCACAUGAUUAAAGGUAUUCCGGUAGACGAUGGGGAUGCGUUCCAUUAGAUAGUAGGCGGGGUAACGGCCCACCUAGUCUUCGAUGGAUAGGGGUUCUGAGAGGAAGGUCCCCCACAUUGGAACUGAGACACGGUCCAA